UGGGACCAAGACAACAAAAGGGAAGAGGCGAUGUUACCAGAACCUUCCCGGCAGGUGCCUGCUGUGGCUCAGGCAUAGCCCUCAGGGAGGGGAGACAGAGUCCUGCUUGGGGCAUCUGGCAACCUCAGUCAAGUCACAGCAGGGGUGCCCAAGGGCCAGCUUUCUGCAGCUGCUGGAGGGGUGUCCUACAGGAGUUGGGCCCUCCUCUUGCUGGCCAUUCCCCCAUGCCUCCCAUUGGCAAGAUCUAGCAGGGAGCCAGGUGAGAAAGGAGCCUGGG
rnacentral:lncRNA from 10 species